rnacentral:rRNA from 1 species
AUUGAACGCUGGCGGCAUGCCUUACACAUGCAAGUCGAACGGCAGCACGGGAGCAAUCCUGGUGGCGAGUGGCGAACGGGUGAGUAAAGUAUCGGAACGUGCCCAGUCGUGGGGGAUAACGUAGCGAAAGUUACGCUAAUACCGCAUACGAUCUAUGGAUGAAAGCGGGGGAUCGCAAGACCUCGCGCGAUUGGAGCGGCCGAUAUCAGAUUAGGUAGUUGGUGGGGUAAAGGCUCACCAAGCCGACGCUCUGUAGCUGGUCUGAGAGGACGACCAGCCACACUGGGACUGAGACACGGCCCAGACUCCUACGGGAGGCAGCAGUGGGGAAUUUUGGACAAUGGGCGAAAGCCUGAUCCAGCCAUGCCGCGUGCAGGAUGAAGGCCUUCGGGUUGUAAACUGCUUUUGUACGGAACGAAAAGGUUUGGCCUAAUAAGCUGAGCUCAUGACGGUACCGUAAGAAUAAGCACCGGCUAACUACGUGCCAGCCGCCGCAGUAA